rnacentral:rRNA from 1 species
AUUGAACGCUGGCGGCAUGCCUUACACAUGCAAGUCGAACGGUAACGGGUCCUUCGGGAUGCCGACGAGUGGCGAACGGGUGAGUAAUAUAUCGGAACGUGCCCAGUAGUGGGGGAUAACUGCUCGAAAGAGCAGCUAAUACCGCAUACGACCUGAGGGUGAAAGGGGGGGAUCGCAAGACCUCUCGCUAUUGGAGCGGCCGAUAUCAGAUUAGCUAGUUGGUGGGGUAAAGGCCUACCAAGGCAACGAUCUGUAGUUGGUCUGAGAGGACGACCAGCCACACUGGGACUGAGACACGGCCCAGACUCCUACGGGAGGCAGCAGUGGGGAAUUUUGGACAAUGGGCGCAAGCCUGAUCCAGCAAUGCCGCGUGCAGGAAGAAGGCCUUCGGGUUGUAAACUGCUUUUGUCAGGGAAGAAAUCUUCUGGGCUAAUACCCCGGGAGGAUGACGGUACCUGAAGAAUAAGCACCGGCUAACUACGUGCCAGCAGCCGCGGUAAUACGUAGGGUGCGAGCGUUAAUCGGAAUUACUGGGCGUAAAGCGUGCGCAGGCGGCUUUGCAAGACAGAUGUGAAAUCCCCGGGCUCAACCUGGGAACUGCAUUUGUGACUGCAAGGCUAGAGUACGGCAGAGGGGGAUGGAAUUCCGCGUGUAGCAGUGAAAUGCGUAGAUAUGCGGAGGAACACCAAUGGCGAAGGCAAUCCCCUGGGCCUGUACUGACGCUCAUGCACGAAAGCGUGGGGAGCAAACAGGAUUAGAUACCCUGGUAGUCCACGCCCUAAACGAUGUCAACUGGUUGUUGGACGGCUUGCUGUUCAGUAACGAAGCUAACGCGUGAAGUUGACCGCCUGGGGAGUACGGCCGCAAGGUUGAAACUCAAGGGAAUUGACGGGGACCCGCACAAGCGGUGGAUGAUGUGGUUUAAUUCGAUGCAACGCGAAAAACCUUACCUACCCUUGACAUGUCAAGAAUUCUGCAGAGAUGUGGAAGUGCUCGAAAGAGAACUUGAACACAGGUGCUGCAUGGCCGUCGUCAGCUCGUGUCGUGAGAUGUUGGGUUAAGUCCCGCAACGAGCGCAACCCUUGUCAUUAGUUGCUACGCAAGAGCACUCUAAUGAGACUGCCGGUGACAAACCGGAGGAAGGUGGGGAUGACGUCGGGUCCUCAUGGCCCUUAUGGGUAGGGCUACACACGUCAUACAAUGGCCGGUACAGAGGGCUGCCAACCCGCGAGGGGGAGCCAAUCCCAGAAAACCGGUCGUAGUCCGGAUCGUAGCCUGCAACUCGACUGCGUGAAGUCGGAAUCGCUAGUAAUCGCGGAUCAGCUUGCCGCGGUGAAUACGUUCCCGGGUCU